rnacentral:misc_RNA from 1 species
AAAGUCGUAACAAGGUUUCCGUAGGUGAACCUGCGGAAGGAUCAUCAUUGAAUCCAUUUUAUACACACCCUUGUGAACCUGAAGACACGGUAAUUCGUCGCCUCAGUUGAGCGCGGCGCAGCAUCGUGUAGUCAAAGUCUUAUGUUAUCGAAUCUCUCUCAAUUCUUUGCUUUGUGUAAAGAUUGUUGACGAUGAUAUUGACCUUGCUUGAUGUGGUUGCUGUGAAGAUUGCUAGUUUAGCGGUCAGUAGCAGCAAACACACUACAUUAAGCAAUUGCGUCAUUUCCUCAGAGACGAGAGAGACUCGUUAAGCAAAACAAAAACACUUAAAAUAUAUACUAAACACAAUUUAUUGUAAUAAUAAAUAAAACAACUUUCAACAAUGGAUCUCUUGGCUCUC